GUCAAGAUCAUUUGGAAUUCUUCCGCCAUCCAACGAACCUUAGAGAACAGCUCCACAAUAGUUGAGACUCCUUGACCUCCAAGGUUCAUUUGAUGACGGAAGAAAUCCAAAUGAUCUUGUU
rnacentral:pre_miRNA from 1 species